UAGGUCAUGUGCCUCUUAGUUUGGGAUAGCCAUUGGAAACGAUGAUUAAUACCAGAUACUCCCUACGGGGGAAAGAUUUAUCGCUAAGAGAUCAGCCUAUGUCCUAUCAGCUUGUUGGUAAGGUAAUGGCUUACCAAGGCUAUGACGGGUAUCCGGCCUGAGAGGGUGAACGGACACACUGGAACUGAGACACGGUCCAGACUCCUACGGGAGGCAGCAGUAGGGAAUAUUGCUCAAUGGGGGAAACCCUGAAGCAGCAACGCCGCGUGGAGGAUGAAGGUUUUAGGAUUGUAAACUCCUUUUGUUAGAGAAGAUAAUGACGGUAUCUAA
rnacentral:rRNA from 1 species